rnacentral:rRNA from 1 species
UACGAACUGUGCAAACGUUAUUCGGAAUCACUGGGCUUAAAGGGUGCGUAGGCGGUCGUUUAAGUAGGGUGUGAAAGCCCUCGGCUCAACCGAGGAAUUGCGCCCUAAACUGGAUGGCUGGAGUGAGAUAGGGGUGUGUGGAACUUCCGGUGGAGCGGUGAAAUGUGUUGAUAUCGGAAGGAACGCCGGUGGCGAAAGCGACACGCUGGGCCGUACCUGACACUGAGGCGCGAUAGCAUGGGGAGCAAACAGG